rnacentral:rRNA from 1 species
AUUGAACGCUGGCGGCAUGCCUUACACAUGCAAGUCGAACGGCAGCGGACCUUCGGGUGCCGGCGAGUGGCGAACGGGUGAGUAAUAUAUCGGAACGUACCUUUCAGUGGGGGAUAACGUAGCGAAAGUUACGCUAAUACCGCAUAUUCUGUGAGCAGGAAAGCAGGGGAUCGCAAGACCUUGCGCUGAUUGAGCGGCCGAUAUCAGAUUAGCUAGUUGGUGAGGUAAAGGCUCACCAAGGCGACGAUCUGUAGCGGGUCUGAGAGGAUGAUCCGCCACACUGGAACUGAGACACGGUCCAGACUCCUACGGGAGGCAGCAGUGGGGAAUUUUGGACAAUGGGCGCAAGCCUGAUCCGAGCCAUGCCGCGUGAGUGAAGAAGGCCU